rnacentral:sRNA from 1 species
GCUGGCGGCCGGCAGGGGGCGGAGUUCGAGCCUGGAUUUUUUUCCUCGGGGCCUCCCCCGGGAGGCCGUCCCGGCGUGGGGGAGGGGAGGACGGCGCGGGAGGAAGCGGUUCGGUCGGCUGCAGCGCUACUUUUGGUCCGGGGUCGGCAGGGAGGCCGCGGCUACCGCAUCACAGCUGACGUGAGGACUACGUGGGGCCGCUGCCGGCUCCGGGUUGCUGGGCGGCGGCGCCGCUGCUGAGCGGCGGUCGGGCUCGCCGUCUCCACCUCCUCGCGUCCGUAAUCAGUGACGAGGUCCGCUACGUAAAUCCCUUUGCGGCGGGAUAAAUAAAGAAAACAGGAAAGGAGGAAAGCAUUGAUUACAGAUGUCUUAACAAUGAGCAAAUGUGCAAGGAAAAAAUAUAUUAAGACAAAUCCAAGACAAAUGACCAUGGAAACAGUUGAAUCCCAGCAUGAUGGAAGUAUAACAGCUUCUUUGACAGAGAGCAAGUCUGCUCAUGUGCAGACUCAGACUGGCCAAAAUUCAAUCCCUGCUUUAGCUCAGGUAGGCAAUAGGCAGGCACCGUUGAAAGUCAAAAUAUAUGGAAAUGAGAAUUAGGUGCAGAUUCUGUUUUCUUGCCAUUGAUCUUAAAUUUUCCAUGUUCCCUGGUUAUCAUCCAUUCUUGCUUAUUUGAUUGUGAAGAAAAGAUACGUGUUGUAAUUAGCCUUGCAUUUUA